rnacentral:rRNA from 1 species
UACAGAGGUCUCAAGCGUUGUUCGGAUUCAUUGGGCGUAAAGGGUGCGUAGGCGGUUGGGUAAGUCAGGUGUGAAAUCUCGGGGCUCAACUCCGAAACUGCACUUGAUACUGCCCUGCUAGAGUACUGGAGAGGAGAUUGGAAUUUACGGUGUAGCAGUGAAAUGCGUAGAUAUCGUAAGGAAGACCAGUGGCGAAGGCGGGUCUCUGGACAGUUCCUGACGCUGAGGCACGAAGGUCAGGGGAGCAAACGGG